UACGUAGGUGGCAAGCGUUGUCCGGAAUUAUUGGGCGUAAAGCGCGCGCAGGUGGUUCCUUAAGUCUGAUGUGAAAGCCCACGGCUCAACCGUGGAGGGUCAUUGGAAACUGGGGAACUUGAGUGCAGAAGAGGAAAGUGGAAUUCCAAGUGGUAGCGGUGAAAUGCGUAGAGAAUUUGGAGGAACACCAGUGGCGAAGGCGA
rnacentral:rRNA from 1 species